GACGAACGCUGGCGGCGUGCUUCAUACAUGCAAGUCGAACGAGAAGCUGACUUCGGUCAGUGGAAAGUGGCGGACGGGUGAGUAAUAUGUAGGAAAUCUGCCUUUAGGAGGGGGACAACAGAGGGAAACUUCUGCUAAUACCCCAUAUGAGCGUAGCUGAAAUGCUAUUCUUGAAAACUCCGGUGCCUAAAGAUGAGCCUGCAUCUGAUUAGCUAGUUGGUAGUGUAAUGGACUACCAAGGCGACGAUCAGUAGCUGGUUUUAGAGGAUGAUCAGCCACAAGGGGACUGAGACACGGCCCAUACUCCUACGGGAGGCAGCAGUAGGGAAUUUUGCGCAAUGGGCGAAAGCCGGACGCAGCAACGCCGCGUGAACGAUUAAGCCCUUCGGGGUGUAAAGUUCUGUCAGUGGGGACGAAACUUGACGGUACCCACAGAGGAAGCACCGGCUAACUCCGUG
rnacentral:rRNA from 1 species